rnacentral:snRNA from 1 species
UAGUGGAGAAGUUCAUCUCU